AGGCCCGCGGUGUAGUUGGUUGCACGCUCCAACAUCCAAAAAGAGCUAGGAAUUGGGAUUGGAUAUGGGAGUAAUGAUAAUGGUGCUGAUGUUGGAGAGGGCUAGGUUCGAAUCCUGGCGGGUCUA